rnacentral:miRNA from 1 species
ACACAGGACCUGGAGUCAGGAG